rnacentral:rRNA from 1 species
GAUGAACGCUGGCGGCGUGCCUAAUACAUGCAAGUCGAGCGAACAGACGAGGAGCUUGCUCCGCUGACGUUAGCGGCGGACGGGUGAGUAACACGGGGAUAACCUACCUAUAAGACUGGGAAAACGUCGGGAAACCGGAGCUAAUACCGGAUAAUAUAUUGAACCGCAUGGUUCAAUAGUGAAAGACGGUUUUGCUGUGACUUAUAGAUGGAUCUGCGCCGCAUUAGCAAGUUGGUAAGGUAACGGCUUACCAAGGCAACGAUGCGUAGCCGACCUGAGAGGGUGGUCGGCCACCCUGGAACUGAGACACGGUCCAGACUCCUACGGGAGGCAGCAGUAGGGGAUCUUCCGCAAUGGGCGGAAGCCUGACGGAGCAACGCCGCGUGAGUGAUGAAGGUCUUCGGAUCGUAAAACUCUGUUAUUAGGGAAGAACAAAUGUGUAAGUAACUAUGCACGUCUUGACGGUACCUGAUCAGAAAGCCACGGCUAACUACGUG